UUGAGAUAGAGUCUUGCUCUGUCGCCCAGACGAGUGCAGUGGCGCAAUCUCAGCUCACUGCAACCUCCACCUCCCAGGUUCAAGCAAUUCUCCUGCCUCAGCCUCCUGAGUAGCUGGGAUUACGGCUGGGCAUGGUUGCGCAUGCCUGUAAUCCCAGCUACUUUGGAGGCUGAGGUGGGGAGAAUUGCUUGAACCUGGGAGGUGGAGGUUGCAGUGAGCCAAGGUCGCGACACUGCACUCCAGCCUGGGUGACAGAGUGAGACUCCAUCUCAACAGAAGGAAAAAAAAGGAAAAUAGGAGAAGGUGGAAAUGGGUGAAGAGAGAAGUCCCCUCACUAGCUGCAUGAGAAAUCUAUCUUACUGUGGUUCUCCAUGGGCAGCAGGACCAUUUUUCAGAAUCAAGAGGGAGGACAGUGUGAGAAGGCGAUGAUCCAAAGAAGACAGAGAGGUCAGCCCCACCCGAUCCCUCAAAUGGGCUCUUGGAGGCACCCCCAGGGGCAGCCCAUUUCUCAAAGUCCAGAAAAUUAGGGUCCCAGAAGGGGGCAGCAGCAGGCUGGGAGUUAGGAGGGAGAGCAGGGUGCCGGCCCUGCCACCAAGUUGAGAGCUGGAGGGGAGGUGGGGAGAGAACAUCACAGAGCAGCCAGCCCUGGUUCACUCCUGGCAGUUUCUUCUCAAGCUCCUUCCCUAGGAGCAUGGUGGCACGUGCCUGUGGUCUCAGCUACUUGGGAGGCUGAGGCGGGAGGAUCGCCAGAGCCCAGGAGUUUGAGGCUGCAGUGAGCUAUGAGGGUGCCUCUGUGCUCCAUCCUAGGCAACAGAGUGAUACGCUGUUUAAAAAGGAAAAAA
rnacentral:lncRNA from 1 species